UAGGGAAUCUUCGGCAAUGGACGAAAGUCUGACCGAGCAACGCCGCGUGAGUGAAGAAGGUUUUCGGAUCGUAAAACUCUGUUGUUAGAGAAGAACAAGGACGUUAGUAACUGAACGUCCCCUGACGGUAUCUAACCAGAAAGCCACGGCUAACUCCGUGCCAGCAGCCGCGGUAAUACGUAGGUGGCAAGCGUUGUCCGGAUUUAUUGGGCGUAAAGCGAGCGCAGGCGGUUUCUUAAGUCUGAUGUGAAAGCCCCCGGAUCAACCAGGGAGGGUCAUUGGAAACUGGGAGACUUGAGUGCAGAAGAGGAGAGUGGAAUUCCAUGUGUAGCGGUGAAAUGCGUAGAUAUAUGGAGGAACACCAGUGGCGAAGGCGGCUCUCUGGUCUGUAACUGACGCUGAGGCUCGAAAGCGUGUGGAGCAAACAGG
rnacentral:rRNA from 1 species